CUCAGCUAGUCACGCAGAAGUUUCUCUUUCGCUCUUCGCGCUACACACCCAGGUUGGCUUCCUGCGGGCAGGCCAGGGGUCCGGAGAGCGGGAGAGGAGACAGGAGACCCGGAAGAAUCCUGAAUUCUCAGGGAAAAGGGUUUCAGGACACAGACUAAGUAUCUUGAAGGAGCUUCAGAGGGAAAAGGGUUUUCCUGAAUCUCGGAAGAGGAUACCCACAGGCACCUAGAAGGGGAGAGAGAAACAGUGCAUGUUCAAUGAUUCCUGAGGAAGAAGCAAGGAGCUGGGAGCUGAUACUGGAGGAGCUGCUGAAGUACAGAAUCCAGGGUAGACUUAGCAAAGGAGUCCCCUGAGGUCAUGGUUCUAGCAUGCAGGUGUGUCAUGGCAGAUGAAUCAUCACACAAAUACUACCUGGACCUCAUUCAUCUGUACCAGCGAUUACAUUAGUUCUUCCUCCCAUUGACCAGUCAGCACCCCAAGUAGCCACAGUGACUGGUCAGGACAUGUGUGGGAGCCACCAGAAACGAUUUCUCCCUUUUUUUGUUCUCUGUGCUUGAGCAUGGAAAGAUGUAAACUGCCAUGACAGGCAAGAGUCUGCGAGAGAAUGCAGCUAACACAGAGAAAAUGGAUCCAAGAGAUGGAGGGGAAUUGGGUGUUGAAGACAUUUAAGCCUGGAUCAAGCUGUUUCUGGAGUGAGACCUAUCAGACUCUCAAGUUAGAAACUCAAUGUGUUUCUACCUACAUGAAACCUCGCUUUGCCCUUUCUCCUUGAACUGGAGUCAGCUCACUGGAGUCAACAGCACUGAACAUCCUGGAGAAGAGGUAGUCUCAAGCUUUUAGCUCCAGAUGAGACC